GACGAACGCUGGCAGCGUGCCUAAUACAUGCAAGUGGAACGCAUUGAUAUCACCGGAGCUUGCUCCACCGAUAUAAAUGAGUCGCGAACGGGUGAGUAACGCGUAGGUAACCUGCCUGAUAGCGGGGGAUAACUAUUGGAAACGAUAGCUAAUACCGCAUGAGAGUGUUUAACACAUGUUAGAGACUUAAAAGAUACAAUUGUAUCACUAUCAGAUGGACCUGCGUUGUAUUAGCUAGUUGGUAGGGUAGCGGCCUACCAAGGCAACGAUACAUAGCCGACCUGAGAGGGUGAUCGGCCACACUGGGACUGAGACACGGCCCAGACUCCUACGGGAGGCAGCAGUAGGGAAUCUUCGGCAAUGGACGAAAGUCUGACCGAGCAACGCCGCGUGAGUGAAGAAGGUUUUCGGAUCGUAAAGCUCUGUUGUAGCGGAAGAACGCGUGUAAGAGUGGAAAGUUUACACAGUGACGGUACGUACCAGAAAG
rnacentral:rRNA from 1 species